rnacentral:sRNA from 1 species
AAAACCAAACUCGUAGACAAAAUAAUAGACCACUAGCCUGCACGAUCUGCUUC